GUCCUUUAUGGAUAUGGUUCUACUACCUUUAAAGUGCCACAGUGACGUAGUCCUCGAAGAAAUGAGAGGAGUGGAACGCGGUAAACCCCACGAGCGAGAAACCCAAAUUAUGGUAGGGGAAUCCUUUCGAAGGAAUUGAACUUAGAAAGGGACAGAGUAUUCUGUAGAUAGAUGAUUACCACCUUUACGUACGAGGCGAGAGCCGUUUGAAGUACUAAGGAACAGAACAUGGCUUACAGAA
rnacentral:RNase_P_RNA from 1 species